GACGAACGCUGGCGGCGUGCUUAACACAUGCAAGUCGAACGGAAAGGCCCUGCUUUUGUGGGGUGCUCGAGUGGCGAACGGGUGAGUAGCACGUGAGUAACCUGCCCUUGACUUUGGGAUAACUUCAGGAAACUGGGGCUAAUACCGGAUAGGAGCUCCUGCUGCAUGGUGGGGGUUGGAAAGUUUCGGCGGUUGGGGAUGGACUCGCGGGUUAUCAGCUUGUUGGUGGGGUAGUGGCUUACCAAGGCUUUGACGGGUAGCCGGCCUGAGAGGGUGACCGGCCACAUUGGGACUGAGAUACGGCCCAGACUCCUACGGGAGGCAGCAGUGGGGAAUAUUGCACAAUGGGCGGAAGCCUGAUGCAGCAACGCCGCGUGCGGGAUGACGGCCUUCGGGUUGUAAACCGCUUUCGCCUGUGACGAAGCGUGAGUGACGGUAAUGGGUAAAGAAGCACCGGCUAACUACGUG
rnacentral:rRNA from 1 species